GGGCCGUUAGCUCAGUCGGUAGAGCAGCUGGCUUUUAACCAGUUGGUCGGCAGUUCGAAUCUGCCACGGCCCACCA
rnacentral:tRNA from 6 species